rnacentral:rRNA from 1 species
ACCUGAAAUAAGCAAGAUUACCCGCUGAACU